GCACGCUCCUGCCGGGAGCUGCAGUGCCCAGUGGGUAUCCCAUGCCAGCAGACAGCCCGUGGGCCGCGCUGUGCUUGUCCUCCCGGGCUGUCUGGGCCCUCCUGCCGGGUUUCUAGGGCGUCACCCUCUGGAGCUACUAACACCAGCUGCGCUGCUACUCCUUGUCUGCAUGGGGGCUCCUGCCUACCUGUACAGAGUGUCCCUUUCUUCCGCUGUGUAUGCGCUCCGGGCUGGGGUGGCCCGCGUUGCGAGACCCCUUCCGCAGCCCCUGAGGUCCCUGAGGAGCCACGGUGCCCGCGAGCCGCCUGUCAGGCCAAGCGAGGGGACCAGAACUGCGACCGUGAGUGCAACAGCCCAGGCUGUGGCUGGG
rnacentral:lncRNA from 1 species